UACGGGGGGGGCAAGCGUUGUUCGGAAUUACUGGGCGUAAAGGGCUCGUAGGCGGCCAACUAAGUCAAACGUGAAAUCCCUCGGCUUAACCGGGGAACUGCGUCUGAUACUGGAUGGCUUGAGUUUGGGAGAGGGAUGCGGAAUUCCAGGUGUAGCGGUGAAAUGCGCAGAUAUCAGGAAGAACACCAAUGGCGAAAGCAGCUUUCUGGGACGGUACUGACGCUGAGACGCGAAAGCGUGGGGAGCGAACAGG
rnacentral:rRNA from 1 species